UUCCUCCACGAAUAACAAGAGGUCCAAAUGAUACGACAAUAAAUGAAGGUGAAAACAUCACUCUAACAUGUGAUGCUGAAGGCCCACCAAAACCUAAAUUUACUUGGAGUAUUGUCAGUGAGAGGGUCUCAAUAAAAGAGAACAUUAGUAAUAACAAUGAGUUGGAACUGAGAAAUGUGAGAAGUGCUGGUGACUAUAAUUUCAUAGUUACAUGUCACGCAUCCAACAAAGGAGGAUGUAGUACAGCAAAUGCAACUAUAGAGAUUUUGGGUAAGUUUCUUACAACUUAAUUACAAGUAUAAACUUUUAAGUUUCCGGAUAUAGUUAGCUACAUUUCAUGCACUGACUUCUAUCAUGCAGCAGAUGGUGAUCAACUAGCGGUCUUCAUAGUGUUUCUUAUGUGAGAUCAACAUGCAGG